GACGAACGCUGGCGGCGUGCUUAACACAUGCAAGUCGAACGGAAAGGCCCUGCUUUUGUUGGUUUUUCGAGUGUCGCGCGGGUGUGUAACACGUGAGUAUCCUGCCCUUGACUUUGGGAUAUCUUCAUUAAACUGGGUCUAAUACCCCAUAUGAGCUCCUUCUUCAUGUUGUGGUUUGUAAAGUUUCGGCGGUUGGGGAUGGACUCGCGGCUUAUCAGCUUGUUGGUGGGGUAGUGGCUUACCAAGGCUUCGACGGGUAGCCGGCCUGAGAGGGUGACCGGCCACAUUGGGACUGAGAUACGGCCCAGACGGAUACGGGAGGCAGCAGGGGGGAAUAUUGCAAAAAGGGCGGGAGCCGGAUGCAGCAACGCCGCGUGCGGGAUGACGGCCUUAGGGUUGGAAACCGCGUUAGCCUGUGAAGAAGAGUGAGUGACGGUAAUGGGUAAAGAAGCACCGGCUAACUACGUG
rnacentral:rRNA from 1 species